rnacentral:lncRNA from 1 species
UUUGUACAAGACCCUCGAUUGUCUCUGCUCAUGUGGAAGUUUCUGAGGCACUGUCCUGACUGACCCAGGCCAGGGCAGUGGGGAGGUGGGGAUGGCGUUGCUCAGGACCCCGAGACUCACAGCGCGAUGCUUAUUGACCUAGGCCCUGCUGAGCGCAUGGCUGCACUGCUCCUGUGGCAUCACAAGGGGCACGACUCACCCAAGCCCCUGCCCUCCCAGGGUUGCCCCAGCUCCUGCCCCAGGUCUGCCCUCCCCAUUCCCCUCCGGCUUCCUGGGCAGUGAGUGACAGUGGGGAGGGCACAGAGGGGCACCUGGGGUCCCAGUGAGGGUCUGGCCUGGUGUUCCAGGUCCUGACUGCAGGAUGCCCUGGGGUCUUGGUCCAAGCAGGGGAGGGGACCACCUGCUGCUCCACAUCUUGUCCCGUCAGCCAGGCGGCAUGUCAAGGUGUCUGCGUUUUGGGGUCACAGCUGGGGAAGAUCUCUUCACCUGGCACAGCUGGGACUCGGGCCUCGAACAGCCAAUUAGGUACCCAUCACCUGCUUUGUUAAGGGUGAGAGAGAUGCCAGGAGGAGUCAGAAAUGGCCCUGCCUCAAGUCACGUGGGUGAACGAGCAGCAUCUAACAUCCCGCUUCCUCCCUCUGUAACAAGAUUUUGCCCUUGGUGUUGGUAACCAUAAUCUUUCCUAAUUCUUGUCGCAUUUCUCUGACCACUUCUCUCAUCUCCUUUGCAGGCCCCCCGUUCCCAGACCACCCUUAAAUGACAGCAUCUCCUAAAGCUCAUUUCCUAAUUAAGUGGUUCUCAAAUGUCAGCACCCGUUGGAAUACCUGGAGAGCCUUUCAAGACAUGGAUGGCUGGUCCCCACGUUCAGAGAUUUUAAAUUGGUGGGUCCGAGGGA